rnacentral:tRNA from 1 species
GCUGGUAUAGCUCAGUAGGUAGAGCAACUGAUUCGUAAUCAGGAGGUCGCAGGUUCGAUUCCUGUUACCAGCACCA